AUUGAACGCUGGCGGCAUGCUUUACACAUGUAAGUCGAACGGUAACAGGUUAAGCUGACGAGUGGCGAACGGGUGAGUAAUGCAUCGGAACGUGCCCGAUCGUGGGGGAUAACGCAGCGAAAGCUGCGCUAAUACCGCAUACGAUCUGAGGAUGAAAGCGGGGGACCGUAAGGCCUCGCGCGAUCGGAGCGGCCGAUGUCAGAUUAGGUAGUUGGUGGGGUAAAGGCUCACCAAGCCGACGAUCUGUAGCUGGCCUGAGAGGACGACCAGCCACACUGGGACUGAGACACGGCCCAGACUCCUACGGAAGGCAGCAGUGGGGAAUUUUGGACAAUGGGCGCAAGCCUGAUCCAGCAAUGCCGCGUGCAGGAAGAAGGCCUGCGGGUUGUAAACUGCUUUUGUACGGAGCGAAAAGGCUCUCUCUAAUACAGGGGGCUCAUGACGGUACCGUAAGAAUAAGCACCGGCUAACUACGUGCCAGCCGCCGCGGAAA
rnacentral:rRNA from 1 species